rnacentral:rRNA from 1 species
GACGAACGCUGGCGGCGUGCCUAAUACAUGCAAGUCGAGCGCAGGAAGCUGACGGAACCCUUCGGGGGGAAGUCGACGGAAUGAGCGGCGGACGGGUGAGUAACACGUAAAGAACCUGCCCUCAGGUCUGGGAUAACCACGAGAAAUCGGGGCUAAUACCGGACGGGUCAUCGGACCGCAGGGUCCGAGGCUGAAAGGCCCUUCGGCGUCGCCUGGGUAUGGCUUUGCGGUGCAUUAGAUAGUUGGUGGGGUAAUGUCCCACCAAGGCAACGAUGCAUAGCCGACCUGAGAGGGGGAUCGGCCACACUGGGACUGAGACACGGCCCAGACUCCUACGGGAGGCAGCAGUAGGGAAUCUUCCACAAUGGACGAAAGUCUGAUGGAGCAACGCCGCGUGAACGAUGAAGGCCUUCGGGUCGUAAAGUUCUGUUGUAAGGGAAGAACAAGUGCCGCAAGCAAUGGCGGCACCUUGACGGUACCUUGCGAGAAAGCCACGGCUAACUACGUGCCAGCCGCCGCCGUAAAAC